rnacentral:tRNA from 1 species
GCACCUGUGGCGGAAUUGGCAGACGCGCCGGAUUUAGGAUCCGGUAUCUUCGAUGUGCAGGUUCAAGUCCUGUCAGGUGCACCA